UUGGAGCACUGUCUAUUAAAUGGGGAACAUUAUUACUUAAAAUUUGAACUUAGAACACGCCUGAAGUGGUGCAGCCAAUCGGCUACCGCUCGGAGUGCCCCAUAAUCAAUUUAAAAGCAAACAAAAAAAAAAAAUCAAAGCCAACUACAGAUUAUCGUCCAGCAAAAUUUCAACUGGGGCAAUGAUAUAACAUUCGGUGUUUGAUUUGAGACUGAAUCAUGAUUCUAAGAAUUCACUACUAUGCUUUUAAUGGUGACAUUAGCAUCUAUUUAAAUAGACAUAAUAUUUAAAAUAUAAUGCCUAAGAAGAAAAGAUAAUUUCAUUUCUUAAUUCUAUGGCUUUUCUGUUGCUGUCGAGAACUUCAUAAAUCAAGGGAGUACAUAUCAAACUUCACAAGAUAUCUGCUUCACCAUGUAAGGUGUUUGAUUUGUCUUUUUCUUUGAGUGAAGGAGUCUGAUUUCUCAACAUCAUAGAGAAGUUGCCUUGGCAAUACAAACUUCUUGAAAAGAAAAAAAAAAAGAGAGAAAAACGGCAAUACAAUCCCCAGAGUUUUCUUUUAUUCUUUUCCCUAAGGUUUUCCUAAUCUAUUUUAUAAUAAUUUCAUUGAAAAAAAAUAAAAUCAGUGGACUGAAAACUAAGCCUCAAAGCUGUCCCAUCUCUCACCAGCCUAACCAAAUGCAUCCUGAACAAAAGUAAGUGGUUAGUGGUGCGGGUGAGUGCCACCCCUUGGUCCGAGACAUUCGAGCCAUGAUAUGUGGUGGGGUUGCCUUUCGGGCUAUACAUAUUUACAGAGAGACCAACGGAGCUGUAGAUUGGGUGGCUCCGUACGUAGCCAAUCACUCCAUAGACACCCUUUGGGUUGGAAAGAGCGAGCUGCCUGAUGCGCUCUGAAAUAUGCUGUAUUUUGACUUUUUUGAAUAUAUUCGUACUAAAAUUAUAUGAAUCAUCCAUUCAAAUAAAAGAAAAAAUAGAAGUAAGUGGUGGGUUGGCUGAUUUUUUCGCUCCAGCUUUCAGAGAGAAAAUGAACAAUUUACCCCCUUUUGAUAUCCUGUCCGGACCAAGAUUGCCACUCCGCACUUUCAGUAAUUGGUAGGUCUAUGUACAUUUGGAAGUGAAAAAGAAGUAAAACUAUGUUUCUGAAGCAGGAAUUAGAGGUGGUUAUAUAAAAAUAGUGGAGACCUGUAUGAAGCAUAUGAGAAACCAUAAAGAAACAAUUGAAAAACAAGUUGGCAACGCCCUUAUUUUUCAUGCAUCUCCUUAGCUUGACCAGCUAUUUUACAGUCGCAUCUACUAUAGAAGUCACUUAUGCAUCUCCUUUUGAAAAUGAAACAUUUCAAAAAGUAGAAUCUAGCAUUGUAAACUAUUAUGCACUAUAGAAGUCAUCCAUGGAAACAAAGAGAGAAGGGAAUGCAUGCUUGCAAACACUGUUGAAAGCCAAACAAGAAAACCUCCUUUAAAUAUGCACAGUCGGAGGCUAAAGGAUUCAGGUCCUUACGUUCGCAGUCACAAUUACUCGCAGGACUUCACAAAAAGGAGGAGAUUCCAUGCGAAUGGUUUAUUUCCUCUACUCAAAAAGAUGCUUUUAUCCCUCACAAUAUUGCACAGCUAGAUGCUGCAUAGAUGCACUCGCUUUCAAGAAUGAGGUCAGGGUUCAAGUCUUGAAGUGGUGUUAUCCCUCACAUUCACAUUGAUGCAGCAUGCCUCAGCCACAGAUCCCUCAUGGUGAGACUUCAAAUAGAUUGGUUCUUCUGACAAAGUAAGAUGUACCAUGUCCAAAUGAUGCUUGGGCUUUUAAUAAUGUUACUUUAUCCAUGUCCUCAUGGAAGUAUCUUUUGUGCCAAUGAAAACUUUACCAGCAUAAGAUUGAUGCGGCUUAAGAUUUUUCUUCAGUACAUAAACCUAAAUUACAGAUAAAAUCGUGAUCACGGUGUCAGAGUGUUUCCUAUACCUUCUACAAAAGAAAGAUCCAUCAAAAUUUCUUGGCCAUUUAAAAUAAAUUGCACAUUCACUGAAAUGCAAAUAUUACCUACGACUAGGCUUUUAAUUUUGAAUGCAGCAUUACAAUACUAGCAGAUGUCAGUUGGUGAUGUCAACCAAGUGUGUUAACAUAUGCAUGUCGCUAGAAAGAAAACAUUUCCAUAAAAGAUAUGAAGAGAAGAAAAGCAUGCAUCUCCACCAUGGUUCAAAGUUACAAGACAGGUUAUCUAAAUUUUCUCACAACAAAUGAACCUGUCUGGAAUUAAAGUAGAGAGUUUACUUUUGAUAUCCAUUUUGGAGGACGGGGGAUGGUACAAAAACAGGUUGCACAAAAAUGAUCAAAUCUCUCACAUGACAACCUGUAAUGUGAAUGGUUUCGUAGUUCAAAGAGUAAGAACACCAACUGAUGCUGUAAUACUAAAUGAGCCACCAAUAUGACAUCUACAUAUCAAGAGGCUUGGCAGAGUAGGAAAGGUAUUUCUCGGCCAUAUCACAGGCAAAUCCCCCACAGUAGCAGCAAUUUUCUAGAAAAAAAAAAAAACCCCAACGGGACAAAAUUACAUACUACACUGUACCAAUCCGAAUUAGAUAGUACGAAACGUACUGUACAGUAUAGAUUCGUUAUCAAUAUUCAGUACGGAUGGCGUACCGAUACUCCGUAUGAAAAAAAAUAUUGUACAAUAUCGUACCGACACAAUACUAGAGCAGCACCAAUAUGAAAUUCGGUACCGAGACGACCAACCUUGCUGCAGAGUCUAUUAAUGUGAGAGCUUAGGAAUUUAAUUAGGUAUGAUAUUAGUUUAUAACAUUAUUUCUACCAACUACAUUGUAAAUAUUGCAUACCAACUAACAGUUUUCUAUAGUUCUCUUCAUUUCAGAUUAUUUUUAAUUCUCACAAACUGCAAAGCAAAAGCAAAAAUCACAAGAUGCGAUCUUUUCAAAUGGAAAUCUGAAAGAAUUAUGAAGAAAAUUACCCUUUUCCCUAUACCACCUGGGAACAAUUCAACAUCAAUGCCCAUCCUCACGGAUUUCACUCACUCCAAUUCUCAUUCAACGCCAUCCAACUCCAUUUGCAUGUAUACAUAGAGAGGAAAAGCGAAACAGAGCAAGAAGGAUCUAGAGGUGACGGAACGGAGGCCUACCGGAAGAAGAAGUCGAAGGAUCAAGCCCAGGAAUUGUCGAAGGCGGCGGAGGUGAUGGCCUGGGAGAACUCCGGGAAGCUGAUCCGGCCGUCGCCGUCGGUGUCGGCCUCCUUGAUCAUGCCGGUGAGCUCCUUGGCGGUGAGGGCGUGGCCGAGCCUGGCCAUGGAGUGGGCGAGCUCGGCGGCCGUGAUGAAGCCGUUGCCGUCCCGGUCGAACAUCUUGAACAGCUGCCGGAGCUGCUCCUCCGUGUAGGGGGACUUGGCCCGGAGGAGCUCCGGUGCGACGAGAGCCACGAACUCGGAGAACUCCACCAGUCCAUUGUUAUUGGUGUCCGCCUUCUGGAUCAAAGACUCCAGCUGAUCCGGGCUGGACGUCAGACCUAGAGACCGGAGAAGGGAGCCGAGCUCCAGCUGGGUGAGGCUGCCGUCGUUGUUUCGGUCAAACGACCGGAAGAUCUCCCGGAGCUCCGCCAGCUGCUCGUCGUCCAGCUUCACCGCCUCCUCCCUGCCACCGCCUCCGCUGCUCAUCUUGGAUGGUAUUCGUAUUCGAUCUCCUCCGAUUCCCGCACUCGGAUCGCCUCUCAGAGGAGCCGGAUCUGAUGAAUUCGGCACAUUUCCAUCACGCUGUUGAAUCCCUGUUUUUUGUCUCAUUCAAUCGGAAUUGAUUGCUGGAUUCUUUUUUCCCUUCAAGAAACCGAUCCAAUUUGCUUCUGCAACCUACCAAGAUUGGAUCUUUGAAUCUGGGAUGCGAUUAGAUGAUCGAAUUCCAGUGGAUUUCGUCCGAAUUUUGAGUGGAUAAGGAGGCUGAUGAGGUCCCCCUCGGAUCCCGUUUUCCUCUCCUCUGCUUUCGAGACUCGGCGCCCCUUCUUGGCGGAUCUGGAGGAGGAGCCCGAGGUCUCGAGCGCCUGGAGGAGGACGGAUCGGAUCCAAGGGAAGGAGAAAAAGAACGCGUGUAAAGGGGAGGGUUUGGUUUGGGAUUCGGCCUCCUUGUUUUGACGAUGGAAUCGGUCGGCAUCAAACUCCUUAACCGUGGAACAAAGAGAAACAUAAAGAAAAAUAGUAAAGAAAGAGUCUUCAACCGUGGGCGGGACGGCACGUCGCCGCCACCCUGUCGGCGGACUCCGUCAUCCGCCCUGGAGAACUCCGAAAUCCCCGCGGCCCUUGGGCUCUGCUAACCUGCGCCGGCCGGCAGUUCGGCUGCUCUCCGCCGUCCGAUCUGAGUGGGCACCGCUGAUCGUAAGAUGAGAGUGAUGGACUGUCAUCCGCUUAUCCAAGAUGGUAGCUGCUCGGCUGUGCAUAUCAAACAGGAAAGAGCAAACUGGGACGAAUGUUCUGCCGAGGUGGAAAUCAUCCCAAUCGGUCCUGAUGCGCUCCAGGCUUGUCAUGCAAAUUACUAGGGGCUGAUUGAUUCUCUGUCUUUUUUUUUAUAAUUAAUUUGGGUUCUCCCACUUAACAUUUGGAUGAUAUAAGCUGAAGUCUGGAGUCGAGAUUUCAGAAGUCAAAGUACUCAGACUCAAAAUUCUAUUUGAAAUCAAUAAAGUCUCAGUAUCCAAGCACAAACUCGAGUUUGAUAAAAAAAAAAAGUAAGUACUCAAUACAAACUUGAUUUAGACAAAGCUGGUUCAGAAUUAUUUUUUAUUCCAAAACAUAAGCUUCAUGUUAGCCUGAAGUUCGCUCCCAACAAUAUAGCCAUCCCUAUCCUAUCACGUCAUUCCCACAAGCCUCUUAUUCAUUGUCGUUUGAUUAUGGCGCGAGAGCAAGUAAAAAUAAAAAAAAACUCCCAUUAAGUUUAGGGAUAAUCAAGCUCGAAUAUCAACUAAGCUAGACUCGAGUUCAAGCUCAAAUUCAAGCCUUAGCCAUAAUUAAAAAAUAUAGUUAAAAAUUAGAAGUUAAGUCAAAAUAAAAAAUAUAAAUAUUAUAUUUUUAAAAUAUUAAAUAAAUAAUAUAUAUUAUAAUUAAAAUAUUAUNNNNNNNNNNNNNNNNNNNNNNNNNNNNNNNNNNNNNNNNNNNNNNNNNNNNNNNNNNNNNNNNNNNNNNNNNNNNNNNNNNNNNNNNNNNNNNNNNNUUGCAAAUAUUUUGCUAGUUAAGCUCGAUGGGAAAAGCUGUUCGAACUACUUGAGCUCUAUUCUAGCUCGAUAACAAUCGAGCUGAGUUGAGUUUUGAUUCAACUCAAGCUCAAGCAACUCAGGGGCUAUUAGGCUCAUUUAGUCAUUUUCAUCCAUAGGUCAGCCAAUUGAAUCACAGAUGGUAAAAACUAUAUGAGCAUUACUCAUACAUUAAAUUGAACAAAUAUGUUAGGUGAAGAGGUUCAUUGUAGCAUUUAGUGUGAACAAAUUGAAAAUUACCAUUUUGAAAUGCCAUGAAUCGUUUUUUUUAAUAUACUUACACUCCAAUUCCGCUGACAUUUUUGGGAAAAAAUGGUACCAACUAAAUUACAUCUGAAGGAAGAAUAAUUGGAUGUGACUCUUAUUUGAUUAAUUUUUUAUUAUUUAUAUUAGUUGCAGAUAUACUCGUCUUUUUAAUUUGCUUCUCUUGUUUCUAUCCUGGAGCUGAAGAAAAACUAAACGAAGUGUGUUUAUAUUACAUCAAAGAUUUAUUAUAUAUAGGGUGUAAAGACUGGAGAUGCCAAAAGGGAUUACAGGCUUGUAAAACUAUGUGCAGAAUAGCAUGGGGAAAAAAAAUUGCUACAACGAGAGUUGAAGCAAGUCAACUUGCUCUUUUGAUAUAGAACUAGCUUAAUUGAUAAAGUUAUCGAGUGUUGGAUACAGAGAGAUUGGAUUUGAGUGCCACCCUCACCCCUUUUUCAGCCAAAUUCUUUUGAUUGUGUCGAACUUCUCAAGUUCAUUCAACCUCUACAAUUCAAAUAUUAUCAAGUUGUGUAGAAUAAGGUACAUGAUUCAAAUCCUAGCUACUACUGAAAAACAUCAUGAGAAAGGGGCAAGCGCAGAAAAUUCUAAAUGAUGAGAAUGACUUGAUCCACCGACUAGUUUAGCCCAGGCAUAAUUAAUACUCCAUUAUUACAAUUGCCAUAGGCUUGAUUCAUAUCAAGAUACACUGGGAUCCUUUACCUAUAAUGGCCCUGUGCUGAUCCAGUACCUUUCAUCUAUCUACUUUAGUAUCCUUUUUUUUCCCACAAAGAAAAAAAGCUAGUAGUACUCAUGACCUCCUAGAAUUUUAUUAAAAUUAGCUGAAUAAUAUAUUGUAUAAGUUGCUCAAGCGACAUAUUUUAUUACAAUAAGAAAAUCUCACAUUAAGAUAAUACCAUUUGGCAUCAUUUUCAUUUUUUAUUUUAAAAAUAAAUAAUAGAAAUUCUAUUUCAAUUCUUGUUUUUUUUAAAAUAUAAAUAUAAAUAUAUUGCGUGCCUGGUAUUGUAUCCAUGCCCUUGCAACCCCUGCACUCAACUCUUUCAUUGACUUCACCGAUCUUUACGUCUCUCGACCUUUUAGGCCUUUGACUUCUAUGCUCACCUUGUUGUCUUCUGGUUCCUUCUCUCGAGCCUCUACCUCUCUCUCCUCUUCGUUGCUCGCUAGCCCUAGGCAAAGAUCAAGUUCUUCCUCGUGUGGGAUUGGCACCAGAGGAAGAUUCGCCAUUUGUUUGCUAUCCCAACAUGGUCCCAAUUCAUUAAAUUUUGUAUUUUUAGUUGAUAAAAAUGGUUGAUUGGGCUGGAUACCAAGGAUUUCUUGUUAUGGGUUUUUAGCUUCUUUUGUUCAGAUUUUUUGCUCUGGUUGGAUCUUAGUGUGGUUUCUAAUGUCAUAAAUUGCAUGGUUUUUCUUUGGUUUAGUAGGAUCUUAUGUGCCUAUUUUUAAAAAUGAUUUUUUUGAGCUUCUGUUGGUUGAAUUUGACUUUAACCCAUUUUUUGGUGGAUAAAUUUUAUGGGAAGGUUGGUCAACUUUUUCAUUGACCAACUUACCCAUAUACUCAUGCUUAUGUAGGCGACUAAGUUAUUUUUCCACCAGCGGAAAAAAUAACGUUUAUUUGUUCCUAAAAUACUCCUAACUCUAUAAUAAUAUAAUAUAAUAUAAUAUAAUAUAUUAUUAUAAAAUAUAUAAUAUAAUAUAUUAUAUAUAUAUUGUUUACAUAUAAUAUAAUCUAAUAUUUAUAUAAUAAAUAGUAUUAUAAAAAAUAUAGAUAUAUCUUAGCAACUUAUCUAGAAAAGUAGUAAUGCAAGAGAAUACGAGCUAUAGAUUUUGGAGCUAUUUUAUAUUGUAUAAAGAACACAAGUAAAUUAUUUUUCUAUUUAAAUAUUGCUUAAAAAAUAUCUAUUCAAAAAAAUAUAGAUUGCUAGAUAAGUUUUUUAUCCUCUAAAGAGCGGGCCCUAAACAAAGCCCAGUAAGAUUGCUCGCUUGUGUUAUAGAUUUCUUAGAUGUGCUUCAUUAUUUUAGUUUAUUCUCUUACCAUUAAGUAUUUCUUUGAAUUGUUUAUUGAUGAUUAAUGUUUUCUUUGUUAUUUGAUGAGUUUUUGUUGUAAGGAAAAAAAAAAAAAGGUGAUUCUUUUUUUUUUUGCUGAUUUUUGUUUGAUAUCUUUAGAAAUAUAGAUCAAGUGUAAGAGGCGAAAAGUAAUUAAAAGGGAUAACUUUUCUAGCAGUGGUCAGUGGAGUAGAAUUAUACCCUUGGACGUCCACUUGUAGUACCUCCCGGAUGCGUACACGACAAGUCCACCGAAGAUUCGGAGAGCGUCACGUCACAUUAUAUAAGUGGGUCCCACACGUUUCCAAGCUCCCCCACGCUCCGCUGAAUCGCUCUUUUGCCGCAGCGUAACUAAUCGCAGCGAUCACAUGUUCCUACUCCUUUCGGAGUACGCGAUACCGUGACUGAUUACCACAUCCAACACGUCAUCACAGCCGUCCAUCCGCCGAUCAAUGGCUCCCUUCGAAGCCAAAGAAACUGUUAUGCCGUCCGCGUCCUCUCCGAGUCCAACCGAACCUUCUACGCGGGGCUGACCUCGACGGAACCCAGUCAAUCGUCGCCCAAAUUAACACCCAUUCCCCAAAAUAAAUAUCGAAUAUUAAAACUUGUGAUUAAUUAAAUAACCAAACCUAAAAUUCCAGCUAAGUAAAUCUCGUCCUUUGAAAACUUUCCGUUUUAUGUUCCCGAGAUAAGCUUGCCGUCUUAUUUCGCAUUUCAUUCUAUAUAAGAGAAGAAAUACUAAAAAGGAAUUUUAUUUCGCUUCGUUACGCACAGAGCACCAACCCCUUUUCCUCUCUUCCUCUCUUUCGAUCUCUCUCGCGGGAUAACAGCAUGCAGCGGCAAUCGCUCGGGGCGCCGGGGGCCAAGCUCCAGGUGAACGGGAACAGUGACGGAGGGGAGAGGGAAGAGAGGCGGAAGAGCAGCGCCGGAGUUGGGGCGGCGGCGGCGGCGGCGGCGGCGGCGGCGGCGGUGGCGGGGGAGGAGGAGGAUAUCAAAGUGGAGAAGCUGAUCCGAUCGAGCUCGAGGAUGGAGAGAUCCAUCCACCUCAUCCCGGUCCUCACCGUUCUUUGCUUGCUCCUCCUCUACCUCAUCUCCCACGACCCCUCUCCGAAUGGUUCGGUUCAGCUCUAUCCACCGACAAGAUCUCUUUUUUGUUCUCUCCAUCUGCCCAUUUUCUCACCUCUUUUGCCUCUUUCUUUCCAGAAUUGGAAAAACUCGGCGGCGACGCCCAUCUUCUGUUCCAGAACGGUACAAUGCCAACUCCCAGAACCUUCCGAUCGGAUACCUUUUUUUCCGGCUAACUUUUUUAAAAUUCGUUGUCGUUUUUGUAGCGGGAUCGGCGACGGAGAUCGGGCGAAAUAUCGGGGUGGGAAUCGGCGGCGGCGGCGGCGUAACGGCGAUUCGGAGCCAUCGGGGACUGAAGGAGGCGAGAAAACUCCGGCACCGGAAGCUAUUCUAGGAACGGCCCCGCGAUGGCCUCGCACGUGCGACGGCGGUCGGCCGGGGGCUCCGCACGUGAAUAUCCCUGGCUUCGCUUCCGCGGGGACCGGCCGGAGAAGGAUGGAUGGUGGAUUAAUUUACCGUCGAUAUGAAAUUUUUGCUUUUUUUUUAAAAAAAAAUAAAGAUAUGCCGCCGAGGAGGCGUGGAUCCCUUUUUUUCCGUAACAUAUUUUUUAAUUCCAUUUUUCAGUUUAAAUAAUAUUGAUUUUAGUUCCGUUAGGGUCUUGCUUAGUAAAAAAAUGUGCCGCAGGUACUGGGAUCCAUCUAAUUAUUCGAAUCCGUAGGGGUGACAGCUGGCGUGCAUCUAUGUAAGCGCACGGGUGGCUCGGCUCGCACGCGUGGGAGCCGGCGACCGGUUCCGGAGUGCCGCCGGAGCAACCUACGGCUCGUUACUAUCCAGCUGCAUGCGUGGUGGGUGAUGGGAUUUGGUCGGUUAGUCCGUUGCUUAAGCACUAAACAAAUUGGAAUAAUAAUGGCAGGCAGCACGCUUCUUAAAGGAAGACAACUAAUAGUUGUCUUGGCGAAUCUUUUGCUAAUAGUUGUCUUCACCCCAUGUACUAUUAAAAGUUUGGAUUCAUGAUACAUGCACCGGAAAACUUUGGCUUUCAUAAAUAUAGAUUUAACUUAGUUUGUAACCAUGGUGGGCGAAGUGCAAUUCGUCCUCCACGUCCUUUUUCUAGAUUUUUAACUACAGGGGUUUAAGGGGUUUAAGAGAGAUUAUUUGCAAAAUGCGACCGGUAAGUGGCUCAAAUCAGCUGGAGAUUAUAGUGUUAGAUUGUUGAAAUAAUGCGAAAUAUUAAAAGCUGAUGUGAAACAAUGAACAAGCGGAGCAUGGUGAUGCAAGAAUUGUGAGUGUAAUAGUCAAGGAUGAUGAGGGGUUGUGGAGAAAGUGUGGAGGCCAUAGAAAUAUAGGAUCCAAAAAGAUUACGCCACAUUGGUUGAUCAAAAAGAAGAAUAAAAUUAUUAAGUGGACCAAAUUCAUCGUAAAUUUAGAAUGAUAUUAUUAAUGUAAUAGCAACAAAAAAAAAGAAAAAAUGGAGUAAUUUCAUCUUAGAUCUACGGUGGACCUCAUGGCAUCUGGUUCACAUGCAGCCUUCCUCAUCAAGAUGAUAAGCUGAAAGCAUGAUAUUACUAAAGACUGUCAUAGCAAUUUCAAAAUUCCAGAUGAAAUGUCCUCCGAGCUAAUAUUGCCGCUCGGGGGGGGCCUCUUUGUUGAAUUUAAGUUUGUCGCUCUCUUGGUGCCUUUGUGGUCGCCACCGCAAGGAAACCACCCACUUUCACGUCAGUGUUCGCUUUAAAUAAAUAAAUGGGUCAGCAUUUUAUAUUUUAUUCCGAAUAAAACAUGAUCACUUGGUCUUAUCCUAAAAUAGGCAGCUUCCUCGUUUUAGAAAGAAACAAAAGGGAAGAGAUGAAGAGGGUAGAAAAUAAAACAAGAGCAAUUGGCUGAUACAAAAAUCAUUUUCAAGGAUCCUCUUUUAACUAAGAGUUAUGGUGGUAGUUCACUAAUUUGGGAUCCUUUAGCAGCGAUCCAUGUACUGCAAAAUGCCAUCAAUCUAUAGAUGGCUGUUAGAAGAUUGACAGAUAUAACGAUGAUGGCCAUCAAAUAAUAUGCUUUGGAGGCCUAGAGCAUUAUUUUGGAGGGAUACUCAGUGAAGAUGAUAGAGUAGAUUUUACACGAGAGGUCGGGGAUGCUCGACCACCUGCUUUUAGAAGACAUUCGACGUAGAAUAAGAGAGUGUGAUGUUUUUUAGGUUGUACAUAUUUUUUGGAAGACGAACAGAGCUACUGAUUGAGUCACCUUGUUUGCUGCUCAUUAUUUUAAAGAUAUUCUAUGAAUCUGCUUUGUAUCUGUUUCUCCAUCUCUAUGGAGUAUUUUGUCCUUUGAUUCAGACGACAGUGUUCACGCAAGACUAGUAUAAGUUGCCGAUUUACCAAAAAAAAUAAUUAAUAUGCUUCAUCCAUAGCUUGUAAAGUGUUUUAUUUGAUGGCCAUCCAUUUUUUGACAAUGGCAUUCAUACAGCUGAUCCAACGGAUAGACGAGCCCAUCACUCUCAUCUUGACGAACGCUUGUUCAACUCCACUGCACUUUUGGCUGGGCGCCAGCGAGGAGGCUGUGUGUAUUCAGAUAUCUCUCCAUGCUCGUUAAAAAAGGGACUUUGGCGUACGUGAUUUGCCUUUUGUUUGGUCGUUACAUUGUCGCGACCGAGAUGCUAAAUUUUUGCAAAUGGAUCAGAACAAAGUGACCAAGUGGAUCACUUUCCGGAGCCACUUUUUCUAGUCUAAUCGAUGAGAGAUGAGGCACGUCCCAACCCCACGCGCAACCACCGCUACGAGUAUUGGUUCUGAGUUAGAAGGAGACAGAAUAUAAAAAGGGAAAAGACAAACGCUCAUGAAUAUAUGAUUGAGACGGUGCCGUCAAGUUAGCGAGUUCAUGGCUUCGAAGUGGACAUGGAUUUCCAAUUGCAGUGUAACAAACAAAACCAUUUGAGGAUAAGGUCUUUGGUUUUAUGGCAGGAGGCUUUUAAUGCUUCUAUUUGGAUCUAUCAAAUGUGCUGAAUCAUGCCGAAGUUGUACACAUUGUCUGCUUAAUGAGUUCAUCGUUUGCCAUCUAGGCAUGCAGCCCUUCGCACCCUCUACAAUCUCUAAUUUUGACCUUCUAGGCUUGAAUAUGAUUUCAUCGCACAAGGGCUGUUGAUACAAGAACAUAAAAAUUGCAGGUGUAUGAGGAUUUUACUUUUCUUCAAAAGAUUAUAUAAAGAGCAAAUUUGGCCAUUUGUCCACUGCGGCAAGUAUUUGUAAUAACCUCCCCAAUACAUGAAGUGCCAAUAUGUAAUUUAGUUCAUGGAAAUCUAUUUCUCAUAGAUGAUUACGACGACAUCACUGUACUUAGUAGGCCAAUAUGGUGCACCACUUGGUAAGGAUGAACAAACUUCGUCUCAUUAAACAAAUUUUGUAGCCUAGGACAAUCCAUGAUAAGGGUAUGAGGUCAAUAGAGGUGCAUUCCGAUCUGUUUAUAAACAAAUAUUAUACCUAAACUCUUGAACAUGUCUUCGACCUGACAAUGAUAGCAAAGAGCUCUUAACAACAUUAUCCAACUCGAAUACCGAUUCUAUGUUCACUGCUAGGAACUGAAUUCACAAACCAUGUCAUUUUCCAUUAAGCACAAAAUUUCAUAGGAUCAAUCCUUGGGCAGGUGCAGGCUUGUUAGAAUGGUCGCCUGAUGCAGCUGUGGGAGUCUCAGAGAGAUGAACCUUCGCAAAGUCAUUCUCCAAACCCUCGUGUUCCUGCUCAGCAGCAACUUUCUCCUUCGUCUUCGAUCCCACAUCACUUGCAGCCUUGGCUACCCUGUUGAAGGCACCAGUCACCCAUGAUGCCCCGGUGAAAACAUACCUGUUCUUCAUGAUGGCUGACCCAGCAGUGCUGACCUUCUGCUCAGCAGCGGCAAAGGCCGACUUUGUCUUCUCAGAGACCUGAAAUUUCUGAUCCAUUUCCCUGACCUUUUCACUGACGGCAGCAGUUCCCAUGCUGAUUUUCUCGCUCAGCCCAAUCUUCUUGUCAAGGGACGACACUUUGGCACUCGCUGUAGAUGUGACCUGGUGUUUCUCAUCAAAAGCCUUUGCUUUGUUCAGAGCAUCUUUGCCUAAGAUGAAGCCUUUGGCGAGCAUGGUGCUGACAACGUCUUCAGCCUUUCGAACAGCAGAUUCAGCACCAUCAACAGCAUUAGCAUCUUUUGGCUGCAAAGGUUGAGAGUUAUGGUUGAGUACAUUACAGAAUGCCAGAUCAUCUCAAUAUGGACGGACGAAAAUAUUGGAAGCAUGUAACAUAUACCACCGGUGAAGCUGAGGCAGCAGCAGGUAGUUGGUACUCUGCAGCCGGAGUAAUGAUGACCGACAUAUCAACUAUUGUUGCACCCUAUGCCACCACCAAAGAAGUAAAUAUAUAUAUAUAUAUAUAUNNNNNNNNNNNNNNNNNNNNAUAUAUAUAUAUAUAUAUAUAUAUAUAUAUAUAUAUAUAUAUAUAUAUAGAAGAGAAAAAAAUUAAGAAGAAAACUGUAAGUCAUUAAUUUGUUCAAAUUUUCGGGCAUCCAAGUUGAAGAAUGGACAUUCAUCUUCCUUUAAAAACAAUGAAAAAAAAAAUGCAAGCUGAAUUUUUAUAGUUAGAAGGGUACAGGCAAGACAAAAGAAUGAUCCACUCUAUAUAUUCUGAUGCAUCUAAAGAAGAAUAUUUAAUUUGUGCACCUAUCGUUUUCUUUUUUGGACCAAAUAACAUCACCCGAACAAAAAAUAGGCAAAUAUGCAUGCCAGAUACAUGUUACUAGGUCAAGGUUGAGAGCAAAUCAGCAGCCACCCACAGACAAGCAUAGAUAGACCAGUAUACAUUAAAGAUAAAAAAGUAUGAAUUCAAGUCUUCAGCAACAAAUAACUGUGUAAAUAUAGGUAACACAUGACAAUAUUUGUUUUCACUUCGCCAAGAAAAUGGCUACAAACUGUCAGAUGAUAAGGGAUUCAUCAUAUCAAACAAAAAGGCAAUAAUAAGAGAGAAAAAACUCUGCAUUGAAGUCUUCCCAAACAUUUAACUAUAUGAAUAUAGGUAACACAACAGAAUUUGUUUUAAUUUCUCCACCAAGAACAUGUAGUACAAACAGGCAAAUGACAAUGUCAAACAUGAAGCUACAAGAACGCACCGAAAGAAGAACUGCAGUCUCUACUCCUUGUGGUUCUUUAAAGGUGACAUAAGCAACCUGAGACCACUCAUCACCACUGUAAAAGAGACAGCAAAAUUAAUGUGCACACAUCCAAGAAAAUCAAAAUAAAAAGUGAAAAUAGAAGUACGACUGCAAAUCCAAACCAGACCUUUGUAUUUCAACAUAUUCAACGUUACCGGAAAAGGAAAAGAAUUCCUUGAUAUCUUGUUCAGAUGCACUUAAGGAAACAUUGCUGACCUUGACCGUCCUUACCUGCAACAAUGUCAAAAAAAUAAACUGGGAUCAGAAAAUUUUCUUGAUAAUGUUUAUUGAUGUAUACUCACAAAAAUUUGUAGCAGCAAAACCACAAAAAUCUAAUUUCAGGUUUCGUAGAAGUCAGAGCAACGAUUGAAUAAAAAUAAAAUCCUGGGUCAAAUGAAUCUACAUAUUCAAAAGUCAACAUUCAUUCAUGAUUUCCUACAAGGAUUCAUAUAAUAUAUAUCAAUAAACAAGUACCCUCCAACAUUCAGCCAGUCAUACCAUUUAUCUAUACAUAUAUAAAGAUGCUGUUUGGUCUCAGGUUUUACAAGAACAGGUUUACAAAAUCUAAAACAGAUGAAUUUAGCAAAAGUGCUUGUUUGGUCACUAUCCAUAAACUUGGUUGGUAAAAACUGGCAGGUCAAAAAACCUGAACAUGAGCUUUAUGAAAAACAAGUCUCCCCCUCUUUUUCAUAAACCCAGGAAACCAGAUUUUAUGAUUCUGUCCCAGACAACUAAACAGCCCCAAAAGGAAGACUAAUACAUAGAGAACAAGGUGGUUAGAAAUCCUUCAAUACUCUCAACAGAAUAGUCAUUCUCUAAUGCAAGGCCAAAUUCUGAUGAAGUUACUUCUGAGUAAACUAAAAGUUGCCUGCAGAGUUCAGCAUUCACUGCAUCACAGAGAUGAAUAGUAAGCUUUAUAAGAUGAUAAUCAGACUUCCUAAAUAGAAGGUGCCAUGAGGUUAAAAAACUGGAUCAGUACUUCAGACAACAAGAUGAAAGAAAACUCCACAACAAGCACUUCCAGGGGAAAACAAAAGUGUCAACUUUCUGAAAUAAAGUUAUAGGACUGAUCAAUAUAAUCCAUGCACAAUCAAGAUAGAAUCUAACAGAGAAAAAGAUGUGGCUGGAAUUUGGACAAACUAAAGCAAAUAAUUGAGGAAAUAAGACUCACAAACACAGCCCUGUAUUUCUACAAUAAGCUACAUUAUGAUUUAAUGGCAACAGAGCGUCAGAAUGAAAUUCAACCUUCCAAAAAAAUAUACUGACAAGGUUCACGGGUAUCAGUUUAUCCAAUCAAUUGGGUGUUCUAGCGUACACCUAUUUCUACCUAUUUAUCACACUUUGUUCCAUCAUUAGAAGGCUAGAAGUACUGAAACAAAUGGUUCAAUAACUAAAGGAAGGGGGGGGGGGGGGGGGCGGGUUUCACUAUAGCUGAUUAAAUCUAUCUAAUUGGAACUGUCUGACUAUUCAGACACAGGAUGGGUUUUUUCUAUUUCAUGACAACCUUAAGGUGACAGGGUUGUCAACUAAGUCGCAAAAGAAGUGGGGAGAGAAGGGGAAAAAAUUGACACACAUCUUGUUGAUGAAACCUAAAAUUAAAUACGACACUAUCUCAUUAUAAUAUGAUGCCACCAAUAGAAAGUAGCGACUGUUACUUAUGGUUCUCCUAAUUCUAACAUAUAAAUUAAAUGUGCUGUCAUCUUUCCUAUGACAUGAGACAACAUGCGAGACUGUUCUCUUCGUUUUUCUUAUUCUAAUCAAUAUAUGCUCUAGGAUUUGCACAUCAUGAUAAAAAAUGCAGUGUCUCACAACUUAGACAUGAUGAUCAAUUCACUGUUCCUUUUUCCAGAAACUCCAGCUUCCAAACAUAUAACAUGAUAAUCAAUUCAUUGUAAUUUCUCCUCAAGCAAUCCUAUAGAUCUAAGAAUUAAGGUAGUGCGUAGUUCCUGAAGACAUUCCAUAAUUAAGCCAUUAUGAUCUCUAGGUUUAGGCAAUGACUAACUGUGAUUAUGAGCGUCACUCUGGAUGAACUAUAAGAGCAUCCCUGUUGUGUUAUAUGGGUUGGGUAUGGAUGUUGCAUGUGAUAUGUGUAUUUUGUUUGAAUUUAGUUUAUGAUGGACAUCUUAUUCAUAUUUAUCCCUUAUAUCUAUCUUUUCUAGUAUAGAUAGUUACAUCUAUUUUAUACAACUAAUUUCUUGUUUUAUACACCAGUCGGACUAAAAAUAAAUUUUCAUCAAGGGAUUAAGAGCAAAUAUUUGCAUCAACAAGUCCUACAUGAUAAAUUUCCUAUAAAACAUGGACUGAAACUUAAAUUUUCCAUUGAGUGGAUCAAUCACACCCAUCCAUCUCUCACCUUAAUAUCCACGUGUACUGUUAGAUCCCACAUGACACCUUGCUCACACUAAACCUGAGGCACAACGAGUAAUAGUUUUAUCAACAAUACAACCUUCCAACUGGACUGUGUUGGCCCACCAUAAUUCUCCUCCAAAAAUAGUACUAUAGUAGAGCCUUUUAAGAGAAUGUAUAUUUUCAUGUUUAUAUCUUUGAAGCUACUAUCUUAGAUAGACUUCUCGAGUAAAUCAUUUGUUGGAUUGAGGCUGCAACAACCCUUCAUUGUCUGACCUACCUUUUAUAUUGUGCCACAUGUUAUUUUUCAAUUGCAUGUUUUAAAAUUUAGCGGUGCUUAUCUCUUUCUGAAGUCCAUAAGGCUUAUCCAUCUUUCCCUUCUCUCUCCAGUGAGAAGAAACAUGGGAGAAUGAUAGGAUCGUGAUCCCUUGAACAACUCCAUGGGAAGCAAACCAGUCAGCUCCUCACACCAUUCACUAACCCAACAACUUCCCCCGUCUAAUUUAAAGUGAGAUUCCGAGGGUGUUAUAACAUGUCUAGAACUAGUUUUCUCUCUGUUUUUACCCCUUCUUUCUGUAUGAAGCUAAAAAAUUGAAAUUAGACAUUGUUACUGUAUUGGCUAAUAUGCUUGUGGUAGCUAGACGAGAGUAUAAGUGUUUUUGACAUAUAGAAUCCAGCUCUUCUGGUAAAAAAUAUAUUGUCCAUAAUUGGUAAUGAAGGAAUAAGGAAUUACAGUAUUAUGGUCAUUUGGAACUUUGUUUAACUUCUAAAAUAUUUAACUAUAGAAAGUUAUAAAUGUUAUGACUUUAUAAGUGUAUGUUGACUUACAGAAUUCAGCUCUUUUGUUGAACAUAUAGGCUCUAAUUGGUAAUGAAAGGAAUGGUAGUGUUAUGGUCAUUCAUAAGUCAUAACUUUGGUUGAGUACUUAAUUAUUCACUUAUAGAUCAGUUAUAGUUAUGUAAUGAGUGAUCUUGAUUAUGUAAGAAAAUUUUAAAGCAAAUUCACAUCACCUUUAUUACUUCUAAUUAUGUCUAUUAACUUAGAAUUAACAGAUCUCGAAGUCUGAAGUUUUUCUUUAAAAUUAAGAUGUCUAAACCUCUGGAAUAUCUUCAACGAUUUUACAGGCAUUCUUUCCCUUCAAAUGUCAUGCUUUGAUUCAAUUUUCAACAACAGCAUCUUUUCCUUCAUGUCAUGCAAAUCAUUUUGAAGGUCUCGAUAUGACUAGCCAUCAUAUAAUAUGUCUUGCCUGUGACAGUAACCAUGGUCUCAGGAAAUAUGUCACCCAAUGAAACAACUGGAUGUAUAUUUCAAAGUCCCAUGUUCAUUACUACAGACUAAGAGGAGAAAUAUGCUGAGAUGAGUUUCUCAUAUGAAACAAAGACUUUCUUAUUUAUUUGCCGAAGCAAGAACUUCUGCCUUUCACCGAUUGACCGAAUCCUGAUUUCUUAACUUACUAUGUAAUCGUCUUACCCAUGCUAUGGUCUUAAAGUCAUCAAGAAUGAAAUGAUAUCUUCUAACCGUGCAUUACAGCCAUAUCCUUGUUGAUAUCUGGGAAACCAUGGUCUAACACUUUGUAGUUCAAAUGUCUAUCAGCAUACCAGGCAAGCAAUUAAGUAUAAAGUCUUGCCGGAACAUGAGGUCUAGCAAGAUAGUGCAUAAUAAGAUGGAUGUAUAAAAACACAUGAAUACAGGUAGCAGCCCAAAAUAAAAGUUUUCUUUCACCAAUCCUUAGAGCCCUAUUAUCUCAACACAACAUGAAAUCUAUUCGAUUCUGAGGCACAACCCAAGAUCCAAUUAUAUCACUCACUAUGGAUGAAUGGAUGCAUAUGCUAAAUCUAACAUCAUUCAUAAAAUUGACUGCAAGGAUAUCUUUUGUCCAUAACGUUUUCAAUCAUUCUUCCAUAUCUUCUGAAACUAAGGGCUUAGUAUUUGCUUUCAAUUCCAUGUAUCAAAUCAAAACACACAAAUCCACAUAUUCUAUGCCAUAAAACUUAUUUUCAACUCAAGAGAUCAAGAUGUAGAGGUUUAUUUGGCAUAAGUGAAAUUUAGAGUAUAAUUGAGUCUACCUUCCUCAUACAAUACAUCGCUUUAAACAAACCACAAAGAAGUGAUCUACCAGUAGGUAUGCUCAUUACUCACCAGAUUGUUGAAAUAUAUUUGUAAUAUACACAGUGCAACUGCAUUGAAGAUGCCUGAUUAAACUGAUUAAUGAUGUAUUCAUACAUGGUACUCCACAUGGAUUUUUUUAUAAAUGCACCAAAUGAGAAUCGGUGAACAUUUGAUAUGCUAGGUAACCAAGGAAUAGUUGUCCUUUAAGUUUCUACAAAACAUGGGUGACCAAAAGUAAGUCUCCUGGUCCCCAUAUCAAGAGAAAAUUUUAAAGAGUAAAUCUCCUGUGUUCACACAAUCAGAAACAUGUAGAAAUAAGACCCAGCUAAUAAGUGUGAUUUAAAGAAAAAUUAAAGCAUUUACAUGCCAAAAGAACCAAUCAUGGCCACUCCUGUACCCAUACAUGAACUUUUAGAUGAGCGAAUACUAAAACACAUCCAUAUAACUUCAUCCCAAGAAGCAGCAUCAUUUCUAAACUGCAGUACUCAUGGGCACUCCUGUACCUAUAUACAGCUCUGCCAACCGCCGGACCAAGAAUUACUUCUAAUGCAAUUCUUAAAAUUUAAAUUUUAUAUUUGAACCAUAUCAUAAACACAAUAAGCUGCGACAAUUAUAACAAUCGCACACCACAAAAUCUAAUCACAUAGAUCGCACGCUUCAGUUACUAUAAAGUUUCAGUUUCCUGCAUCAAUCUUUAAUUCCUCGAGUAAAAGAUAAAAUCGAAGAAACAUAAUCAACAAAUCUGAACCAGACCCCGGAAUUUCAUAACCAGCCCAUUCCAAAUCAAAUCAAAUAGCCAUUUAUACUUUCAUGAAUCAAACAGAUUCUUGUAUCAAAUAAUCACAACAGAGGCAGACCAUAUUUCCUCAAAAAAAGGAAAAAAAAUCAAGCAAUGCCAAGAAGGAAGAAGACAAAACAACAGCAGAGUCCAAAAGUCCACAAAUAUCCUUUCCAGGCCUAAAGAAAACCGAAAUCAAGGCGAGAGAACCAGUGCUCACCGACAUGGCUGUCGACUCGGAAACCCUAAUGGCUUAGCAAUGAAGGAACAGAAAAGGAUCGAGGUUUGAAGAGACGCGGAGAUUUCUUUUUUUUCCAGUCGUGGAUGGAUGGAUGAAUCGGGAGGUAUUUAUAGGUCGGUUGGGUCGGGCGUGAGAGCCGUGGCACCGCGGAGAGCCGUUUGAACUGCCGUCACGUCCCGCAGCACUGGGGACAAACGGCUUACGGUGCUGACGUCUCCUGCCGUGUAGGUAACGGUAACCUUUUUUUUCUUUUUUUUCUUCCAGGUGGUACUUAUUUCGUUCCUCGGAAAGCCAAGACCAGCGGGCUUCGAGGCUGUACCUUUAAAGAACGGUUGUCACUCGUUGGAAUCGCAUCUUAAAUUAUAAUUACUUUUUUUUUUAAUAAAAGCGGCUGCUCAUCCUAUAUAAUUCUAACGUGAAUACAAACGGUCAGAUCGUAGAAAAGUAAAAAAAUAUAAAAAAGAAGAAACGUCUGAUGCGGACGUCCAAAGGGCAAUAAAGAAGGCGAUCCAAUCUGUUGUCCUGUUCGCCUUCCUAAACACGUGUCCAAUCUCAACAUCAUUCAUCAACUGAGCCAUCCUAUGGAUCUUCCGGAUGAGGGGAUGACCAUCUCCAAACCGAUCCGCCUUCCGGAGCCAGUCGAUAACAACAGAUGAGUUUUCCUCGAGGCAGAUCCACUCCACACCCAGUACCUACCACACAUAUACUUCAACCAUCAAGUGCCUCGAGUCAAUUCCAAUCUUUGUGCCUAAAUCACAUUAGAUGGUGACAGAGCUUUCUAGUGCACUAUAGUUAUUUAUGCCAUUUGGCUGUAUGCUAAAUUAUGAUAUUAAUUGGUGAAUAAUAAUAAUCAUAAUCAAUGAGCCUGAUCUCAUCUAUAAAAAGUGUCAUACUUCAUAAGAUCCUUUGAGAUCAUUUCAAUCAAGGAUAUCAUUCUCCCAUAAUGCAAGUUAGACUAAAACAAUUACACUAGUAAUCUAAGUAGCUAUUUGGAGAGGAAAUGGAGAAAAAGGAGGGUGGAUUUGAAGAUCUCAUAAAUUUCUCAAAUGAUAAAAAAUUAGCAUUAUGGUUUUAGCUGCCUACUAAAUUAGAGGCUAUUUGACAGGAAAAUGAGAAAAAGGAGGGUGGGAUUUGAAGAUCUCAUCAAAUCCUUACAUGAUCAAAUUUUAGCAUUAUGGUCUUAGCUACCCGAUCAAUUAGAGUUAGUAACUAAAUACUAAGACAUAUUGACCAUGGUUAUGACCCUGUUUUCUGAUCUCCUCAAUCACAUUAGAAUGCGCAGUUCGUCAUUCCAAACAGACUUGCUAAAUCAUUCGAAUAAUGAACUUGAUUUGCUUAUUUUCUAAAUCAAUUUAACAAUUUUCCACCUUUCCAUCAUAUUAUUUUUUUUACUUUAUAGCCUUUUAUCAUCCACAGCCAAAAAGGCCAAACAGAAGAAAAUAGGGAGCCCCCAUCUACUCCAUCAUUAUCAACUCUUAAUGCUGAUGACAGCAGUUGUGCCAAUACCAACAACAACGGUGAUCCCAAUGCUGAUAAUAAUGGUGAUCACAGUGUUAAUAACAAUAGUGAUCUAGAUGCUGAUGACAAUGUUGUUCAUGCAGAGUUGCCAGAACCAGUAUCAUGGAGGAAUCAUGCAAGAAAACAAAAGAUGCCUUGUAAAUCACCAUUUAAUUAGGAUCAUUUAAUUUCAGUGAUCAGCAUCAUGAUGUCACUCCCAUAUAUUUGGGUGAUCAAUUUCAUGAUGCCACUCCCAUAUAUUUAAGUGAUCAAUUUCAUGAUGUCACUUCCAUUACCUGCUCUACACAAACAAUGAUGGUGCCUAUGGUAAAACUGGCAUGUAAAGGCAGCAUCUGCUCUCAAGCAUUGGUUAUUCUAUAAGCCAAACAGACCGAGGGGCCAUAUAAAGCAUGAGAUGUUAGAAAGAAAAUUCUUUAUUCAAUUUAUUUAUUUAUUUGGGUGGUGUUCCAUUUGGUGAUGUAAUGCCCGUAUAAUUGGGGAUGCUGUGUUCCAAAAGAAGUCCAUGUUUCUCUUGUUAUAGCUUCAAACAGUUGAUUCUUUUAAUUUAUUAAGCAUGAAGAUAACUUCAUCAACCCACAAUGAGCAGACAUAGAGCUUUGCACCAACAGGACCUAAUAUUUCCCUUGUCAGGAAGAACUUGAUUUCCAAACGAAAGUGAAAACAAUGCAAGGUUAAUGGACCUCAACAACAAUGACAUAGGUAGGUAUAACUGAUGAUAAUACACUCACAAGCUCAAUGUGACCAAAUUCUGCAAGAAGCAAUCUCCAAGGAUCAAUCCCAGUGUCACUAUAAAAUGGAGCAGCAUAUGCAGUAGCAUUCAUGAUUCGAUGUCCUCAACAUGUGUAUUUAAUCACUCACAAAAAAAGUUAUCAUAGCUGCACUGUGUAAUUAAAAUACAUGCAUAUACAAAUCGAUGUCGAGGGGCUGGAUGUCAAAGUAGUCGCAUAUCUAGCAGGCCACAUGAAGAGUGGCUCUCAGAGGACCCAAAACACUAGGGACAUUAGUUGGUCCAAUAAUUUUAGCGAAAAGCGAAAACAACAGCAACUGAUGUACAAGAUCAAAGAUAGUGAGAUCACUAAAGUUCUGAGAGCCCAAAUUGCAGAAAUUUAAUGGUCAAUAAAUAUAAUGUUAGCGGCAACAACAAUGGCCUUUUGCAGCAGUCUGAAACUAUGCCGACCAUUACAAAAUUAGAAUGUUCAUAAGUCAGUCUACACAGGGAAAAAUGAAAAAAGAAUAAGGGUAUACAAGAAGCAGGGAAAAUAAGCUGAACAGGGAUAAGAACAAAAGUUCUUAAGCUCUAACAAAUUCGAUGACUUAUAGUAUUGUUCCGGUAGAAAGUCUGAUAUGACUAGAACUAUUCCUGUCCCUGUAUGAUGACUGCGAACUAAGAUGCCUCCAUUGCUCAACUUAGUACCUGAUUAUUUUGAGGCUGCGCUCUUAAAAUUCACCACUAUAUGUCUCUGGUUUGCUUGAAUAGGUGGUUCACAUUUCCAUCUCUUCCUGUAAACUUGUGUUGAUGCCCACCUAGAAGACAGUUAAUAAAAUAAUUUACUGGUUACUCAUCAAAUAAAUCCAAACUUAGAUGAGCCAAAUGAACAUGAACAUCGCCUAAAUUUAACAAAUUAUGGAAUGUUGAAUAGCACAUGAUCAUAGCAACGUCACAUAACAUCUUGAAAAUUAUUGUUCUAUUGUACCAUUUAACAACAUAUGGUGAAACAUUAACAUUACAUAUUAUAAUCUCAAUGUAUAGAAUCUCAAAAUUUCUCCACUUGGAAUAUGGUAUAAUUUUAAGUUGGAAAUUAAAUGUCUUGGCAUGCUAUUUGAGUAAACAGGAAAGCCAUAUAGUGAAAUUACCUUACAUUUAUACCAUGGCAAAAAGUUAAUAGAGCCACUAACAUUCUUUCCCAAUAAAAUUUAGCCAUUAAAAAAUCAAUUGAUUCAUGAUUGCCAGUCACCAAUAAUUACUUCACAAAACUCAAAGAUUUUUCCUAGUGGCUGUUUUUGAUAUGCAUGGAAAACCAUGAGCUUCCAUUACCACCCAAGCACGACUUCAACAGAGGGAACAGUGAUCCUGAAGGCCACCAGCAAGAUGACAACUCAUUUUAGUUGCCUGUAAGAAAACACGCACCUUGCAGAACUGAUGUAUGAUCAAUUGGAAUGGUAAUUGGCAUGCAGCAGAGAUAACUCUUGUCAGCUAUUAAUGGCAAACAACAUCACAAACAUUCAUGCAGAAGGAGACAACAGCAGCCUAAUAGCCAUGAUAACAAUGAUUCCAAAAUUAGCAGGAUUUGAAUGAUGGUGCCAAUUCCAGUACGUAGAUCUUUCAUGCUUCUGAAAACAAAGUAAUGAUUUUUAUUCUAAAUUUAGAAGCCUUAUAUUUCUAGUCUUAUAAUUAUAUCUGCUCCCCUAGAAGUAUAUUUAUCCGGAACUUUUGAAAAUACCACUGUUUAAUGAAACUAGAAGCAAAAAUGUAUUAUUUAAUUUCAUAUACAUUAGCUCGUUGCAGUUGAUAGUUCCUCCCUGCCUUAGAAGAAGCCAAACGAUAUGGAACCAUAGAGUUUCGCAUGCCUCUGGAGUUUUAAUUGUAAAAAAUACAACCCACUCUUCAAUUCUGGCAGUUGGGAAAACAAUCUACAAAAAGAAUUUUUACAUGUGAUCACUCUAAAAAUAUGUUAUCUGAGUCUCCUACAAACUCAAGGUUCCACUAUUUCGAAUGACUUUGUUGAUGUCGAGCAUCCAAACCAUAGAACAUACAUAACUUAAAAAAAAAAGAGAAGAAAACCAUCCAUUUUUAUUGAAACGAAAACCUAGAAAUCAGAUACAAUCAAGAUAUGAUCUGGCAGUCAAAAUCCUGUCAACUAUAUUUCUUCAUCAGGAUUAGACAAUUCAUAUUACACCAAUCAGUAAAUAUUACAAUUAGCAAUACAAAGUCCAACCCAUAUAAUAGAUAAAAGAUGAGUAGAAAAGGUGAACAUUCCCCAAGUCAAAACACAAUAUAUCAAGAAAAGCACAGAGCAAAAGUUCAUUUAAUUUUUCCACUAUAUAUAGAUAGAUAGAUAUGUAUGUAUGCAUAGCAGGAAAAUUUAUCUCAUCCAAAUGGAUCUAGCGGAAUUCUCCUACCAUCAUUGAAGAGCUAAAUUUUGAUCCUUUUAUUGUGAUUGACAGAACAUUCAUUAUAGAAUCAGUCAAUAACAGGGUAUGAAGUACCCGGUCUCGAAAUAAGGUGGAUUUGGGAGCGAGGGCGGGCAAACUUCCAACUGUCUUCGUCCAAAGAUUUUACCUCCUUCUGAAGUGCGGCCAUCAAUUCCGAUUUCAAAGCUGUAAUGCCCCAGCAAAUGAAUCAAAUCAGAAAAGCAAUCACAAAAAUUCAAGAAAAAUGUAUUGAAAAAUUCAAGAAAUGAGAGCACCCGCUCGAUUCAAGAAGUGUGAACAGAGAGAGGAAACGGGAAAAUCCCUAAAGAUACAAACUUUACGGAAAAGGAAAAGGAGGGUUGCGGGAUUAGGGCUGGCAGCGACCGGAUUGGAUGAUUACCGGCGAGGGCUUCCCCCUUGCGGUCAUGGGCGGACAUGACGUCGGUGGGGAAGUGGUAAGAGGAGGUCUCGUCGCCGAACCCAGCGUUGCCGCUAACACCACCGCCCUGACCUCCGGCGCUCGUCGCCGACGCCGAUGAUCUCGCCGGAGAGCUCAUUCGCCGCGACAGGAGAGCGAACCCGAACCCCGUGGAAAGAUUGGGCUGUCGGCGUCCUUCGGUGAGUUCAAACGCUGGGGAGCCUCCUUCGGAUUGCUGUGUACGGUUAACGAUGGCCGGGCAAACGGCAUUCUGAUGCCGCACACAAACUACGGGACUUAAGCUACGGGCACGUCGCAAUCAGAAAUACUGCAAUUAAAUGCCAAAUUUCCAAAUGAAUUGAUUGCAUAGAAUUGCAAUUUGAACUCUAAAAAAUCUAAAUCUUUAUAAUCAGGAUGAUAAAUAAAAUUAAUCAUAUUUCCAAUUGCAAGAUUUGUUGUAUUUAGAAGAAGCCUUCAGAGUCACCACUCUCCAAUGAAAUUUAACAUUACAUAAUUAUGACAUAUUAAAUGUAUAUUAUUUAUUUUACCAAAUAUAUAUAACAAUGGAGACUUACUAUAAUAAUAUAUAAUUAAUAUAUUAUCAAAUAAAUUUUAUAGUAUUAUAUUACUAUGAUUAUUAUAAAAUAAUCUAAUCAUUGUUUAGUAAUAUUGUUAUUUUUAUUAAGAUUAUAAAAAUAAUAUGAUAAUUACUAUGAUAUAAUAAAAAUAUGUUAUUAUAAUAAUUAUUGUUAUAGUAUUAUAGUAAUCAGUUAAUAUAUCAUCUAAUAGAUUGACUAUUAUUCUCAGACAUAAUAUACUUAUUUAACUAUUAUUAUUACAUCAUAAUGAUUCUUAGUAUAAUAUAUAAAUAAUAUUCUAACUAAUAAUUUUUAUAGUGGUAGUAUUAUAAUGACAAUAAUCUAUAUAAUAUAAUAUAAUAAUAUCAUAUUAUUAAGUAUCCUGUCUCUUUUAGGUAGAACCAAGGGCAAGAAGAAGAAGUUUGGCAUGGUUCGAUGACCAUAGAGGGAGAAGUGCUACUGCUGCACAACAUCUGGUGACUGCUGAGGGAGUGUUGUGCAUUCUAGGCCGGGCACGUGCUUCGUGAGUCGAAUAGAGCUGCUGAUUGGAUUGCCUUUUUUGCUACUCAUCAUUCAGAAAAGUUCUUCUGGAUUGGGCAUGCUUCUAUUCCUCCGCCACUGUACAACCNNNNNNNNNNNNNNNNNNNNNNNNNNNNNNNNNNNNNNNNNNNNNNNNUAGCUGAUGUACCAAAAAAAAAAUAACUGUCACUUGCUUUUGAAUCAGUUAUGAUCUAUGAUCAUGAAACUAUAUGCAAUAGCUAUGAGAAUGCUUGCAUCCUUACUCUUAACAGAGAAUAAUCAAGCAACUACAAAGGCCCAUAAUCACUUUUCUAUCAGGGCUAGCCACCGCCCAGAACCCAAGUCAGAAGAAGGAUCAUGCAAGGCAGGGGACGUGAAGCAAGCCCAAUCGCAUCCAGCAGUGGAAGCAGGGUGAAAUUCUCCAACCUAGGAGGAGCUAAUGCAGGCCACAGAUGUUCAACCCUAUGGUUUGGCAAUUCUAGCUCCAAUUAUACUAGGUUGUAUAUUCUAGAACUUCCAAGAUGCAAAAUGAAAAGUUUGAUAACGUGAGCCAAACUCUGAUCCAACGGUAAUAAGUUCAUUGUUUCACCAUCGAAUUGGUAAUGGUCACGAGUUCUGUUGCUGGAAACUGGACCCGAAGAUGAUCGUGGACCGAAGAGGAGGAGCUCCGGCAGGAGAUACGGCAGUGGACAGCUUUUUUCGGAGGACUUGCAAGAAGCCGGUGGCCGGGAUUUCCGGCGCCGGCCCUUCGAUGCUUAAGUCAGAAGGUUUUUUUUUCUGUGGAACAAGCAGAGAGAUUAUGUAAAAGAAAAGAUCCCCCUUCAGAAGAAAGAAGUCCCCCUUUUUAUAAGAGGGAUGUAUGGAUUACUUGUGACGUGACUGUGCGAAUUAAUGAGUUACCGUAGUAAUUGGACGUGAUCGUGUGAAUUAAUAAGUUAUCGUAGACGACCCAAGAUUUUGAAUUGGCUAGCGGUCCAUUGAGAUCGUGCGCAUUUAAUCGUUGGCAGUCGUUGAGGCGGAGAUCACGAGAUUGAACUCCGGAUGAGGAGAAGGGGGACUUGAUUUUCGGUGGAGUGGAGGAGUCUGCUUCUUCCUUUAACUGGGUCUUCUUUGGGCUUGAGAUCGAUCGGGCUCAACUUAAUCGAGACCAAAGAUGUAAGCUCUGAGGCCGGGCGUGCUGAGGUCGGGCGCCUUGAGGUCGGACGCCUUGAGGGUUGCCGCCGUCGUGCUCGCCAUCAAGUGCCGACAAUAUAUUCACGUGUUUUGAGCAAUCGAGUUUUCCCCCAACAAAUUUAUCAUGAGAUUCAAGAGGAUUCGAAUCCUACCAAUAUUAUUUUGAUGGUGCCACUACUACCAUCAUAAGCCAAUGGCCUUCACAAGGAACUUUCUAGAAGGCUAACUUGCAUAGUAACCAAACCCAAAAUGGAUUUCAUCACCAAUCUAGAAGGCUAACCCAUGACGGGAAAUAUGAUUAUUUUUUUUUUGUCAUUCUAAUUGUUUAUUUUUUGUGUCCACAUUAUGCAUAUGCAGGAGACAGCAAAACUAGUAAUUUUUGAUUUUUAGGUAUUUCCAAUAAUAUAGGUCAUGAUGAAUGAUAUAUAUCUUCGAUUUGGAUAUUCUAUUAAAUUAAUUUUGGAGUUGAGAGGAGCACAUGCCCUUCUAUCUUGAAAAAAACAAAAUCUAUUUUUUAAUAGUUCCACUUUCAGAAAAGAUGGUAAACAAUAAAAAUCUUAGCAAUGCAUUUACCGAUUUGAAUAAAAAUAGCAUAUAACCCGCUUGAUAUAUAAGAUAUAUUUUUUUCCUCAUUUUUUCAACUAUUUUUAAAAUAUAAUUUAGGAGAAUAAUAAAUUAUAAUAAGUAGAAAAGCUCUUCAAUAAUCAAAUUUUCAUUACAUAUUAAUACCAGCCCUAAAUGAUGGAAAAGGUAUGGUUUGUUCUUAUUUUUUUAAUAAUUUUUGAAAUGCAACACAACAGUGUAACGGAUUAUAAUAAAUAGAAAUUUAAAUAACUAAAUUCUGAUUGCAUAUUAAGUAAUAAAUUUUAAUAUUAGUAGAGUAUAAACUCAUGUUAUCAAUAGCGGUGUCUAUAUAACGAAUGGAGAACUCUGCAUAAGCUAAAUUUAUGUGUAAAAAUUUAUAUUAUCAAUAGAGGCAUCCAUAUCAUGAUCGAAAAAGUUUACAAAUCGAGCAACAUUAAAUUAUGAACUUUAAUAAUGGCCAAGCAAAAACUUCUGUUAUUACUAUCUGUAUUCAUAGGCAAACGAAGAACUCUAUAUAAGAGCUUUUACAUGAAAACUUUAAUUAUUAAUACUGGUAUCAUAUUGGUAUUAUCGAUACCGGGCCAUGCAAUCUACAUAGUCCAAUUUUUUUUUCUUUUUUUACUAAUUAUUUUUGAAAUACAUGGCAAGUGGAGAAUUUUGCACAAAUUUAUCCAUUGUAUAUAUUAAGUAAUGAAUAUCAAUGAUGAAUUAGCGCUUUAAUACUGGCAUCUUUAAUAUUAAUAUAUAUGGAUAGAAAAUUAUAUGCUUGAUGAAACUUUAUUUUAGAUAUAUAUAAAAUAGAGUGGCGUUAUAUAAAAUGAACGAUUCGGAUAGACGGAGUGCCGAUUUAUCAAGGGAGCGAGAAGAGGAGAGAGAGAGAGGGGAGGAGGAGGAGAUGGGGCGGAAGGCGAAGGUGGAGUUUGAUGAGAGGCCGCCGGACGGCUUCGAUCCGAGCAACCCGUACGGGGAUCCGGUGGCGAUGCUGGACUACAGGGAGCACCUGGUGAGGGAGAAGUGGAUCCAAAUCGAGACGGCCAAGAUCAUCCGCGAGCGCCUCCGCUGGUGCUACCGCAUCGAGGGCGUCAACCACCUCCAGAAGUGCCGCCACCUCGUCCAGGAGUACCUCGACGCCACUCGCGGCGUCGGAUGGGGCAAGGACGCCCGCCCACCCGAGCUCCAUGGUGCCCCCUACUCCCUUUUUCCUUUCUUCUCUUCUUCUUCUUCUUCUUCUGCUUCUUCUUUUCCGAUCCUUUCUUUUCUUUCCUUUCUUUCUCCUCAUCAAUUGAGUGAUUCUAUUUGUCGUUUUAACUAGAUUUUAAUCUGAACUUGGUGUGUUCUACAGGUCCCAAGAAGGAGUCUGAUUAGUUCUGAUUGUGGGCCUCGAGGUGAGCGACUGUGCUUCUCAUGGAUAUUGAUUCUAUUUCUUCUUUCGUGGAUUUUUUCUAUUUGUUUCCUGUUUUUAUGGUUUAACUGUAGAUCUACUGGUUUUACUUCGACAAAUUUGGUUUAGGGUUUUUUCCGCAUUAUAAAGACUGUAUCUUGGGCGUCUAAAUUUUAUGUAGUCGGUGCCUGAGGCAUGUAGGAUUUGUUUUUCUCGCGUUGGUUCAUUAAAAAUGAGUUCUUUCUUCCUAAUCGUGGAAGCCUGUUAAAGCAAACCUCGACUCUGCUGCUAUUAAGCAAACAUUGUUGACACCCUAAAUCCCCGUCUCUUUCUUAUAUUUCUUCAUAUGAGGGUAAUCGUGUGACAAAUUCUUGAAGUGUGAAUGAUUUUUCUUUUUCUUUCUUUUUAUAUCAAACGCCCUUAUUAGCUCCUGUCUGGACAUACAAGGAGCCGUCAGGUUUCUUUUGCUUUUAAGUGGAAUAAUCUUGCAUCGCUUGCCAUCUUGUCCAAUGACCCUGUUAUCAUCUUGCAUAGUAAGCACUCUUGUAUCAUUAUUAUUCUUAUCACUUAAUUUAUCUCUUGAGAUCUCAACUUAAUACGCUUCUAAUGUCAGUCAGACUAUGAUUUCUAAUUUCUAUCCUCUGCCGCCGACAACUCACUUAUGAACUGUUAUCUUGUCCUAUGACCCUGUUAUCAUCUUGCAUGGUAAGCACUCUUGUAUCAUUAUUAUUCUUAUCACUUAAUUUAUCUCUUGAGAUCUCAACUUAAUAGGCUUCUAAUGUCAUUCAGACUAUGAUUUCUAAUUUCUAUACUCUGCCACCAACAACUCACUUAUGAACUGUUUGUCAAGGCACAAGAUAAGUCCAGUAAAAUAAAAUGGUGAUGAUGGCAAUAGGUCUGUAUGAUUCAUAUAAACAUAAAUAUCAGCAGUCCUCUUUAGCUCUGAACAUGAUCAGCUUCUAAUGUGAGAUUUACUCAGUCCUGUAGCAUGAGCUGCUUACAACUUAAGUUUAACAGCACUUUAUUCAGUAAAAUCCUCACAAAAGAUAAUUUCCAUCAAGCUGUACAUGGUCAGUUAGUCAAUAACAAUUCCUGGUCCAUACAUGCUGUGUAAGCAGCCCAAGAGAUCAUGGUAAAUGAACAACUGGUCAUGGAUAUAUUUUUAUGACUUGCCUUUUCUCUUUCCGUUGUAAAAUGCUGCUCAUAUCUAGCAAAGCAGCAAAGUAGUUUAUCACAAAGGAGACUUCUAAUCUCAUUAAAUUAAAUCAUGGAGAAUGGGUGUCAUAUAUAUUUUAGGAUUUUUGACAUACUUAAACUUAUCUCCCAAUGAAGCAUCACAUCCUAGGAUACCUCGACCCUUCAGUUUAACCUGAACUACCUGCACCAUCAUCUUAAACACCAAUAUCAGUAUGACAUUGACAUGGCUCUUUGAGGGGAAAUUCUUAGAUAUUGGAAGGUUCCAAUACUUAGACAUGAACAGGCUCCUGCCACAUGAACCUGAGUCCGUAUAACAUAGGUCACAUUCGUCAUACAUCAAAUUUGUGCAUCUAGCAUGGGACUUUUUUCGAUGUGACCAUGUUAAUUGACCAAUGGCUAAAUAUUAUUUUACAAUGGUUUAACCAAUUAGUCUCUUACACCAAUGUGCUUGCAUUUGCUUUUACAAAAGUUUUGAUAUUGAGUAAAUUCUCUUAAUAAUUUCCUUCAUGAACACUAAAUUCGUGACCACCUUUAGUGAACUGAAAUUACCGGCUCUUUCAAACCUGUUUGCUCUUUUGCUGGUUCCACAGAUACGAUUUUCAUUUGUUCUCUAAGAUUAUGUUCUUUGAUUCACUCACCGUAUGAUAGUCACUUUUAAUUGUUUUUCAAAUAUCAGAAGGGGGGAAACUAUAUUUUGUUAUUGAUUGUGAAAUAAGUUAGAACUUCAUCACAUUGCCUCCUUUCAACCAAUAAAUUAUAAAAGUGUUCUGCCAUUCAUACAUUGAGAAAUCACAGAUAUAAAUAUUUCAUCUGCCCAAGGAACAAAUACGGUCGAGUACAAUCGGAGGUAACUUUUGUGAAAAUGUGGUGCACAAAACGAAGUGCAGUACAUGCAGAUGAUAGCAAUGCUGAUUGAUGAAACACUGAUUAGGUUAAAUGAUAGAUUUGAACUAUUUGGGAGAGCUUUGGUGCAUUCUGAUCUGGUUUAGUGCUGGAUUUAAACUAUUUGGAAAGCUUUAGUGGAUAUAAUCAGGUCAAGUACUAGAUUUGAACAAUUUGGAAUGGUUUGGUGGAUAAUGCCCUAAAAUCAGUUAAUGUUGUAGUCUGAAAGCAUAAGUGUAAGAAUAAAAGACUGCAUUUGAUGGUCUGUGACGAUGACAAGUCCAGCAACAAUUUAGGAAUAGAAAAGACCGCUGUUAUGGUGCUUGCUUGUUCUUCUGGUCAUCUUCUUAAUCAAAAUGUGUGUGCGUUUUGUGUCUUGGAAUGCUUGUAGAGUUGAAGAUUAUUUAUACUUAAGAAAGAAUAGUUUUUACAAUUUAUUGGGCGAUCCAUCCACAUGCAUCAAUUUGGGUUCAUGUCUUUCCCCACUUUCUUUUAUGUGGAAGGCUAAACAGAUUACAUCUUACAAAAGAUCCUGGAAGAACUCGACCUCACAACAUUGAUUUAUUCAAAUGCGGUUAUAGUUAGCAGGUCUUAGCAUUCUUUUGUUCAACAUGGUUAUGUCGUACAUAAGGAAGAACCUGCUUGUUUGGUUUGUUAUUUACCAAACAUGAAGGUGAUAUGUUAUCAUUGUGCAUCAUCUUUUCCACAUCUAAUGCAGUCUAUUCCUGGACUUCAAUCUGAUAUGGAAUUAUGGGUUUGAGGUAUAUGAGAUUCUCUGUGAGGAUCACUUUUGCUUAUGCUGGAGGUAUUAGACAAACAAACGAGAAUGAUUGACAAGGAUGUCUCCAAUAGAAUUGAAGCAAGAUGGAUGAAGUGAGAAUGCACUGUUAAAGUGCUUUACCAUCAAGACUUGACAUAUUACAUGAUUUUGAUAAGACCAGCUUUAUUUUAUUGGGAUUUGAAUGUUUGAAGAUGAGGAAGCCAGAUAAGCAUGAGCUCGCUAGAGAGCAAGAUGUUGAGGAAGAUGAUAAACUUGGUGAAGGUUGGGAGCAUCACCGAUAUGGAUGAAGGUUAUUAUCUUUAGAUUGCAUACACAUGUUUAACAUAGGCUUCGAGGCCUUUUGAAAAGGGUGGUCUCGUUUAUAUGCUGGAACUUAGGGAAAAGUGGGUGCCCAGUGAAAACUUGAUGAUAGCUGCAAAACAGCAAAAGUCAUGGUCCAUGUCAAUGGACUUAGCUUUGGAUGAGAAUUUAUGGUUGUAAUCAAUCCUGAAUGAAUGGGUUAGGCUUGUGUAUGCAUACACACCAUGCGGACAUCUGACCAUGAUUAUAACAAACAUUGUAUCUGAUAGCGGGACCAAUAGCCAAUGCAUAGUACUUCUAGGUCCAAGUUCCUUGACUGUCGAAGUUGCCCCAGCCAUUUAAAUGGACUGUCUCUUUGAUGUAUCUGUCUGUUGCCAACGUAUUUUAAGGCAAUUUCUCAUGAUUGAGUUUUUAUGCCUGCAUCAGAACUGUUGAUUCCACUGCAGUAAUUGUUACAUCUAUUAUCAGUUUUAAUUGGAAAAUAUUCUAAUGUAGUAUUUACUGUUGAAAUGGAAAGGGAUAUUACGCUACCACUUGCCUCAAAAUUAAACACGAAGCAAGUUUGCGGUGGGACAUAAAUGAGAAGAUAAUUCUUGUGAGUUUGUGCUUGCAGGUGAUGCAGUCUCAGGGUAAAUUGAAAAUGAGAGAGCUAAGCUUUCCAUUGCCUACUCAUCGUUGGCUGGUUUGCUUUUAUUCAAAUUAUGCACCUGCAGUCCCUCUGCAGAUGUCACUUCUUGAUUUUUCAAUAAUGAAUGUUAUGGAGAAUAUAAAGUGUUCUCUUAUGUACCUUUGUUCCCUGAUGUUUAAAAAAUCAGCUAUUCACAGAUGAAGGUUGCUUUAUACCUGCAACUCCAUGUAUUCUGCUUGUAUGUUUUAAGCUACCGGCCAGGUUCCUUUAAUGCUUUGAUCAUGCCAGUCUCACUGUCGUAGGGUUGAGAGCAGCAAUUGAUUGACCUAAUCGGAUGAAUCAGGAAAAUGGCAACCCUUUGAUGUUACUCCGGUAUCCAUCACCUAAGUUUGUGGAAGUGGCACAGCUGAUGCACAAAAUGUCAGGUAGAUCUGAUAACAAGUGAAUCCUGCACAAAUAGAAACCUUGUCAAUUCAUGGAUUUUGGUUCCUUCUUUAUGGCCAAACAGUGGCACCUCUGUCUUUAUCCAUUUGGGUUCCAUGAGAACAUAGCCUGCUCGGUUACAUGUCUGACUUGGAGCUGAUGUCGUGUCGUAACCCAUGAAUGACCAAAUCCAAUUUUAAUUGCACCAAUCUCCUACCAUUUUUCCCUCAAAACAUUUGCACCAAUGUCCUGCCACAUUGGAUGUGUAAAUGAGAGGGUGAGGCAGUGGUUCUCCCCGGCAUUAACUGGCUCCAGUUCGGUGCAUACAGAAAGCCAGAAUGCUAUGAAUCGGAUCCACUAAUUGAGUGCGCGUACAAUUAUUAGCUCUUAUCUUAGUCAUUGGAAUUUUUUCCCGAGAGCACUAUUGUUUAACUGAUCUUUGGAGUGGAUUCAAAUAAUCAGGGGUCAUCACCAGAUUUUUCAUAUUACAUAUCUCCCCAACAUCUGCGUUCGCCUUCUCUCCAUUAGAUCUCUGAUAACACCAUGCAUGUGUGACACGUUAGGAGAAAUAGUGCAUGCUUAUAUAUUCUGAAAAGGAUUUAGCAAUUUUAGUAUCUGAGAUUACAACUGAAUAGAAAGAUUUGGAUAUCUAAUUCUAUCAAACAUAUAACAAACGGAAACAUGGAUCCAUAUAUUAACUAUCUGAUCACAAAAUAGCUGUAACUGAUAGGAUAUCCAGAAAAAAACACAUACUGGCUCAUGACCUGUUAUGCAAAACAUAAUCCUAGCUGGAAAUCUAGUUGCCCUCAUUUGCCUAGGCAAAAAUUGUUACGACUAAUGGAAAAAUAACACUCUGCAUGUUUAUCUAUCAGCCAUAUCAAUUGCUGUCACACUUGCAUUGUGGAAAAAGAAUUAGAAUACUAAUGUCCAGCCCAGUAGAAAAGCCCAAGCAGCCCCAAGGUUCCUACCACCUUCACUAUGUAUGGAAAGUAUCAUCAACUAGGCCUUCUGUGGAACAGCACUUGGCGACAAAAGGGUGGCUUAGGAGCUCCCCCACCGUCCCUCUCUUCCUCCAGUCCUUCUCCAAGCACCUUCCCAAAAAGCUCCGGAACUCCGGCGAGGCAGCAUCCGGCACCGCCGGUGGGCCACCAAAGCAAACGACGCACAUCAAGGUGGCCCAAUCUGGUCGCUCCCCUGCCUCCACCAGCGGAAACCUGCCUACAAAGCACUCCAACAGCACCACCCCAAGGGCCCAUAUAUCACCGGCGAACCCUCCGCUGUCGCCGAACCCCUCCGAGUCGAACCGUUCUGGGCUCAUAUAUGCGCAUGUGCCUGCGCAGGCAUCAUCGCCACCACCGGAUGAAGGCCCCAUUGCUGCUGCCACCACCCGGCUCGCCCCGAAGUCGGCAAUCUUCACCUCGCCAUGGCUGCCGAUUAAAAGGUUUGAGGGCUUGAUGUCACGGUGCACGACACCCAUCCCGUGGAGGUAGCGCAGGCCCUCCAGCACCCGCCCUGCCACCCCGGCGAUGAGCCCCUCCGGCAGCCUCCGGCGAGCUCGGAGAACGUCGUGGAGGGAGCCGCCGGCCAUGUACUCCAUGACAAGGCAGAGACGGUCCUCACCGCCUCCCUCGAGCACGCCGUGGCAGCGGACGACUAAGGGAGAGUCGACGCGCGUCAGGAUGUCGGCCUCCCGGGCUGCUUGGCGCCGGGCGUCGGCGGCGUUGGGGCCGAAGCGAAGGACCUUGAGAGCGAAGAGGGAGUUGGUGCGGAGGUGGCGGACCUUGUAGACGGUUCCGCUGCUGCCAUGGCCGACGACCGAGAGCUUCUCGAGGUCCGAGAGGCGGUCUACGGUCCCUGGGGAGUCAGAGAAGUGGUAGGGAAAUUCCGGCACCGCCACCGGUGGGGGUGGCAAGGGAAGUCUCAGUGCUUGUUGGUGCCUCCUCUCUCUCACCAUUGUCAUCUCUCUCUCGCCUCCCUUCCCGUUUGGGUGCAUGGCGUGCAGAAAUAUAUAGCUAAAAGCGAGUAGAAAGCGCACGUGCGGAGGGGGAGGAGUGUUUGGUUGGCGACACGUGUGAGGGAGAUCCGAGGUUGGUGGGACGGGCGAGCGCUUGGUGGUGACGUAAGCGGAGAUCUUGGCUGAGGUCUUUCUUGUCGUUAUCUUUGUUACCCACACGACAACGUGGGUGUCGCAGGAUUAGAAGUCCGUUAGCAACAUCGCCCAUCCAAUCAACUAGUGCCACGUAUCAGUUCUGAAAGUUUUGAAGGUCCCACUUAAAAUCCUAAAUGAUUCAUUAAAUGGUUUCAGAAUACAAGUGUUUUAAUUAAAAAAAAAACCAUAUGCGUACCAUUCUGCUACAGUUUGUACAGUGUUGGAUGAACAAAAUAAUGAUUGCAUGGAAUUCCAGCCUACUAACAAAACAACACAAAUAUCAGAAAGUGACACACAUUCUUCCCCAGAACCUAGUAUAAAUGCAUUAGGCUUCUCCGGAUAAAACCCUCGAAAUUUAUUAACAUUGAGUUUUUGUGAAGAAAAAGAUAGAAUCUCUCCACUUCUAGGGCUGAUUUUUACUAUUAGAACAUACAAAAAUUAGCCAUAUUUAAUUUUGGUGGCCUGUGGUCCGGCUUGUGGUGACUGGCAAUCAAUGAGUUCGCAUACAAGAUGAAUAAAUGAUAAAUUACCUAUAAAAAUGAUCUUCGAACUCUAAUUUUGCACCUAAAAUUUGUCUCAAGAGGGUGGAAAUAUUUGCCUGCAUCUUUUAAAUGAAUGGUUGAACCAUAAAUAUGUGCCGAUUAGUUUAACUCAAAGGUUUCCUUCUAGACAAAGAUUACAUGAGAUGAAGAUGACCGUCUCGGUGGAGCUUUUCAUUGCAGGGAAAUAAUCCCAAGACAUGCAGACUGAAACAACUUUAAUCAAUCAUAAUGGGAGUAUCAUAACUCUGGCCUCCUGCACUAUCAACUACUGGAGAUGGGAUUUCCCCGCGGAGGAUCCGCACUUGGAACUUCAUAUUCUUAUGGUCUGUGAGUUCAAAGACGCAACCAUCUCCAAUCUUUAGAUUGUUGUCGAUGGCAAACUUCUUCCACCCUCGGUCAAAUCGCUUCAAGGAACUACUCCCACAAUAUCUCAUCUCCCAAGUCCUCCUCUCGCAAGAGAGGAACACAGAAACAGAUUCGGAUGGAAGUAACGAACAGAACCUCCUUGGAACGGCCUACAUAACAAAGGACAACGUCAAACUGAAGUACAUCAAAACUGAAGGAAACAGGUGCUUAGAAAAUGCCUGCAUAAUUGUCAAACCAUACCAACAAAACCUUAUCCCAUAAACAUUUUUUUUAUUUUUAUAUACAGCAACAAGUUCAGGACUUAGGGCCUAAGAAAUUGUUAAGUUUUGGAACAACGAAUAUAUGAAAAAAUUUAGCCAGAAACUGAAAAGUCAGAAUAAAUUGAAAGGGCUUAGUAAAUAAACUUGAUGAUAGAUGAAGAUGGAAGGCGCAGCAAGAGCAGAAAACAGGUCAGAGCAACAAGGAAAAAAAUGAUAGCAAUGAAAAGCAACAAUUAACAGAAACAGAAACAAAAAUGCAGCAACCAUUCAGGGCGCAUUUGAGUGUGCUUCUCAUUUUUCCAAAAACAGAAAAUUAGUGUCCAAAUGUACUUCUGUUGACAUUGUUUCUUUCUUCUUCUUGUUGUUGCUUUUUAAAGCCAGUGACAAAAUUUUAGAAGGUUCGAGUGCUAGAAGCUUUUUACAAUUCAAAAAAGUUCAAAUAGAAACAAAAUACAAAAGGGGAACAAGUCAAGAAUGGAAACACAAUCAAAAGGGACCCUGAUAGUUCUUUCGACCUUUGCAACAUUCAUUGUUAAUGAAUUAUCUGUGAAAUUCUCAGAAUUUUUUGCAAAAGAAAUUCAGAAAAUACAGCAAGCAACAUGAUGAUAAGAAUGGAAACACAAUUAAAAGGGGUCCUCAUAGUUCGUUCCAACUUUGCAACAUUCAUUGUUGAUGAAUUAUCUGUGAAAUUCAUUCUCAGAAAAUUUUUCAAAAAAAGUUCAGAAAAUACAGCAAACAACAUGAUGAACUAAAAGAUCUCAAUACAUAUAUACAUACAUACCGAAACCAGUGAUAAGCACUUUAGUCUAAGGAACCAUACCAUUGAUUAUGGUCUAAAAAAAUCUGAAAAUAUCUAACAAUCAAAAAACAUGUGAUAUCAAGAAAUCUUUUAGUUCAUCAAUUGAUCCAAAAAAAAUACAGUUUUAUUGGCUUGAUGCAGUGUUUUGAAGUGAUCCAUGGUUUAGAAGCACCCAAACCAAUUGAAUUUUGGUUCUUACAUGAUUUAAGAUGUGUAGUUAUAAUUAAUGGUGCAGAUCCAAAACUUACGUCCAUUAUAUUGCAAUAGCACUAUUGGUACUAGGCAUCUUGUAUAUGAGUAUAUCCACUUAGAGUGCUUGCUUAAAAGACAUCUGAUUUGCAUGAUUUUUUAUUUCUAGGUAUCCAAGACAGAGUUCCCUCUAUAUGCACGCACUCACAGAUAUAUACACUAUAUUAUUAAAGAGUGUAAUUUAAUCUCUGGGUCCAUCAAGUUUCGGCUACAAUGGGAAAUCAAUUAGUUCACAUGGAAAACUUUAUCAUACGAUUAUUAUCACUAUGGGUAGUUUUGGAAUGCACUUUUCAUCUCUCUCAGACUUUCUCUCUGUCUAUGUUAACUAUUCAGCCAAACCACUCAUUAUUAUAGACUAUAUUUAGAUUUUAAUUUUACUUUAUUAUCUACAUAUUUUUCAUAUUUUUUACUUAAUAUUUUUAUACCCUUUUAUUUUCAUAUUUUAUUUUAUCUUUUCCUCUCUUUUUUUACAAAAAACAUACAUUGCAUGCACCUACAUACUAGUAUGUAUCCAUGUAUGUAUACGAAUAUAUGCAUAUAUGGAUGUAUAUAGAGAUAUUAGUAUAUGCAUAUUUACAUACAUACAUAUGUAUGUAUGCAUAUAGAGAUCGAUGGAAGUUCUUUUUUUUUGUUGAUGAAAAUAUAUGCAAAUAUGUAAAUAUGUACAUAUUUGCAUGCAAGCAGACAGACAUAUACAUAUAUACAUAGACAUACAUAUAUUCAUGCAUGGGUAUGUGCUUGUACAGAAAGCAUGUACAGAAAGCAUUACUUGCAACCUAACACUACAAAUAUCAACACCACGUCGAUCAAAACUAUAAGCAACAAAAUCUGCCUAGCCUUCUGUUUUCUCACGUCUUUACUAUAUAUGCUCACUCUCGUGAAUGAAAAAAGCACAAGUUUAAACUAUAAUAUCACUAUAAUCAUUGCAAUUAGUAGUUCUUUCCAGUCGUUCAGAUCAAACUAGAAAUAGAUGAAAGAUAAUUCAUGUAAGCAUCUCAUACAGCAAUUUAGGCUUCAAGAAUACCAAAAUGUUACCAUAUUUCCUAACCAUUUUUACGAGUAUUGCAUCUUAAAUAAAUAAAAACAUGAACAUGAGAAGCAGAGCAGAAAAAGAUUUGGUCUCAUCACAAAUUAUGGCUGUAAAAUAGAUAAAAUUACCAGUUGAAAUGGGGAUUGAGUUUGAGAUUUUGAAACAAUGCAUGUGAAAUAUGGACUUCCUGAAAGUGGAACAGCUUCAUCUUGCACUGCAGGUGUGAUAGGCUCUGUUUGUAUUUGUUGAGGGGCAUGAGAUCGGACACUACUUUCCCCAUUCUUACCAUUGUUAGCUACUGGAUAUUGAUCUGCAUGGUCAUCUUUGAGAACGAGUCAACACAAGAUAUAAGAUUGGCAACUCAGGUAGGAUAGCCAAAUAAGCAAGCUGCUCCUCCGCAGCUAUUUUUCAGUUUCGGUUUGCAACUCAAAGAUGUUUGCAAACAGCUUGAGUUCAGCUUGAAAUUAACAGAGCUGGCUCCAGCUUGGCUAAAUAGGUUGUAAGUAAAUAGUACAUGAUGGAGCUCGAGCAGAAAGGAUUGAUUCGUUUAUCAGGGGGGAAGAAUCUAGGGUUAGUAACUAUCAAUAAGUUAGACCAACUUUGUAAGUAUAUCCUCAAUCAAUAUAUAAAUCGAAAGGUUCAAAAAAUCGAAAUAUCAA
rnacentral:lncRNA from 1 species